UGGCCUCCCAAAGUGCUGGGAUUCCAGGCGUGAGCCACCAUGCCCAGCCAAGACCCUAUCUCUAAAAAAAAAAAAAAAAAAAAAAAAAAAAAGAGUAGGAGAUGGAGAAGGGCGGGUGCCGAUUUAGACAGUGUGGUUUGGGAAGGCCUCUCUGAGGAGAUGACAUUUGAGCAAAGAUUUAUAAAGCUUUGUGAAGAUGUGUGG
rnacentral:lncRNA from 10 species